AGCGAACGCUGGCGGCAGGCCUAACACAUGCAAGUCGAACGAAGCCUUCGGGCUUAGUGGCGGACGGGUGAGUAACACGUGGGAACGUACCUUUUGGUUCGGAACAACUCAGGGAAACUUGAGCUAAUACCGGAUGAGCCCUUAGGGGGAAAGAUUUAUCGCCGAAAGAGCGGCCCGCGUUAGAUUAGCUAGUUGGUGAGGUAAAGGCUUACCAAGGCAACGAUCUAUAGCUGGUCUGAGAGGAUUAUCAGCCACACUGGGACUGAGACACGGCCCAGACUCCUACGGGAGGCAGCAGUGGGGAAUCUUGCGCAAUGGGCGAAAGCCUGACGCAGCCAUGCCGCGUGAAUGAUGAAGGUCUUAGGAUUGUAAAAUUCUUUUACCAGGGACGAUAAUGACGGUACCUGGAGAAAAAGCCCCGGCUAACUUCGUGCCAGCAGCCGCCGUAAGAC
rnacentral:rRNA from 1 species